GACGAACGCUGGCGGCGUGCUUAACACAUGCAAGUCGAACGGGCCCGCCCCUGUUUUUGGGGGUGGGUUGAGUGGCGAACGGGUGAGUAUCACGUGAGUAACCUGCCCCCUGCUCCUGGAUAACUGCUUGAAAGGGCGGCUAAUACGGGGUGUGCCGGCUGGUCCGCAUGGGCCUGGUCGGGAUAGUUUCAUCUUCGGGUGUUUCGGUGGGGGAUGGGCUCGCGGCCUAUCAGCUUGUUGGUGGGGUGAUGGCCCACCAAGGCGGUGACGGGUAGCCGGCCUGAGAGGGUGGGCGGCCACACUGGGACUGAGACACGGCCCAGACUCCUGCGGGAGGCAGCAGUGGGGGGUAUUGCACAAUGGGCGGAAGCCUGAUGCAGCGACGUCGCGUGAGGGAUGGAGGCCUUCGGGUUGUGAACCUCUUUCUCCGGUGGUGAAGGCCCUGUCCGUUGCGGCGGGGUUGACGGUAGCCGGGUAUGGAGCGCCGGCUAACUACGUG
rnacentral:rRNA from 1 species